UCUAAUAUGGCAGAAUAAAUGCAAUGAAUUUAAGCCUCAUAUAUAAAGAAUAAUCUUUUUUUAGAA
rnacentral:tRNA from 1 species